GAGCGCACUUUAAUGUGACUCUUUGUAUCACCAUUACCACCCAACCCAGAGGUGCAUUGUGGCCUUUAACGAGGUUAGCAGUGUAUCAGUACGUAUCCCAAAGGCAACUUUGAGUUACAUUACCCAUCAUUUACCCCCAUUUACACUUAAUAAGUUUUAAGAAUGAAAACCAUACCUAUAUAACUUUCAGCAAUGGAUCUCUAGGCUCUCACGUCGAUGAAGAACACAGUGAAAUGUGAUACGUAAUGUGAAUUGCAGAAUUCAGUGAAUCAUCGAAUCUUUGAACGCACCUUGCACCUUUUGGUUAUUCCGAAAGGUACACCUGUUUGAAUGUCACGAAACCCCCCUCGGCUCUAAUGCUUUCUAAAAGGAUUUGAGACGGAUUCUGAGUGUUGGCGUGAUAACGCCUCGCUUUAAAUAGAUCAGCACUUUUGGAUGGUUUAAUAUUAGUUCGAAAGACGUACUUGAUGUUGUAUUUAUAUUUCGUUGAGGCAGUCUUUGGUCGUUCCGACUAUCCGCUAAUAUGACGACUUGAAGAAUAGCUUCCUAACCCUAUGAAUUUAACCUU
rnacentral:rRNA from 1 species